CUCGGGUUAGUAGAAUAAAAAUAACAGCUUUGGGGGCUGUAGAAGGGGUCUAUCACUAGGCUUCACUCGUGA
rnacentral:tRNA from 1 species